rnacentral:rRNA from 1 species
AUUCCAGCUCCAAUAGCGUAUAUUAAAGUUGUUGCAGUUAAAAAGCUCGUAGUUGGAUUUCUGGCAGGAGUGACUGACCACAAACUCUGUUUGUGAGUUGUGUCAUUCUGGCCAUCCUUGGUAAGAUCCUUUUUGGCAUUAAGUUGUCGGGAAGGGGAUGACCAUCGUUUACUGUGAAAAAAUUAGAGUGUUUAAAGCAGGCUUAUGCCGUUGAAUAUAUUAGCAUGGAAUAAUAAGAUAGGACUUUGAGUCUAUUUUGUUGGUUUGCGAGUCAAAGUAAUGAUUAAUAGGGACAGUUGGGGGUAUUCGUAUUUCAUUGUCAGAGGUGAAAUUCUUGGAUUUCUGAAAGACGAACUACUGCGAAAGCAUUUACCAAGGAUGUUUUCAUUA